rnacentral:rRNA from 1 species
AUUGAACGCUGGCGGCAGGCUUAACACAUGCAAGUCGAGCGGAGAUGAGGUGCUUGCACCUUAUCUUAGCGGCGGACGGGUGAGUAAUGCUUAGGAAUCUGCCUAUUAGUGGGGGACAACAUUCCGAAAGGAAUGCUAAUACCGCAUACGUCCUACGGGAGAAAGCAGGGGAUCUUCGGACCUUGCGCUAAUAGAUGAGCCUAAGUCGGAUUAGCUAGUUGGUGGGGUAAAGGCCUACCAAGGCGACGAUCUGUAGCGGGUCUGAGAGGAUGAUCCGCCACACUGGGACUGAGACACGGCCCAGACUCCUACGGGAGGCAGCAGUGGGGAAUAUUGGACAAUGGGGAACCCUGAUCCAGCCAUGCCGCGUGUGUGAAGAAGGCCUUAUGGUUGUAAAGCACUUUAAGCGAGGAGGAGGCUACUGAGACUAAUACUCUUGGAUAGUGGACGUUACUCGCAGAAUAAGCACCGGCUAACUCUGUGCCAGCAGCCGCAGUAA